rnacentral:rRNA from 1 species
GAUGAACGCUGGCGGCGUGCCUAAUACAUGCAAGUCGAGCGAACGGACGAGAAGCUUGCUUCUCUGAUGUUAGUGGCGGACGGGUGAGUAACACGUGGAUGACCUACCUAUAAGACUGGGAUAACUUCGGGAAACCGGAGCUAAUACCGGAUGAUAUUUUGAACCGCAUGGUUCAAAAGUGAAAGACGGUCUUGCUGUCACUUAUAGAUGGAUCCGCGCUGCAUUAGCUAGUUGGUAAGGUAACGGCUUACCAAGGCAACGAUGCAUAGCCGACCUGAGAGGGUGAUCGGCCACACUGGAACUGAGACACGGUCCAGACUCCUACGGGAGGCAGCAGUAGGGAAUCUUCCGCAAUGGGCGAAAGCCUGACGGAGCAACGCCGCGUGAGUGAUGAAGGUCUUCGGAUCGUAAAACUCUGUUAUUAGGGAAGAACAUAUGUGUAAGUAACUGUGCACAUCUUGACGGUACCUAAUCAGAAAGCCACGGCUAACUACGUG